UAGAUGAUAUUUAUUUUAUGAAUAGAUGUUAUUAUUAUGAUCUUGAUUGUAAGGUUUUUAUAUUAUUUUUAUGGAUGGUUUGCUUCUAUGUAUUCCUGCGAUCAAACAGGUGGUACUUAUUGUAUUAUUAAGAAGAGUAUAAAUAGAGUACCCAAUGCUUAUGGGAUUUAUGCUCCUGAGGAAGCUGGAUUAUAUUUGUGCCAGUGAAGCGCGUUGAGCUCAUUCCACAUCUAUCUGGACUCCACUCUCUGAACAGACCUACGAGAUUCCUGUCAUCCCCUGGCAAAAAUUGGACUUUUUCUCCCAUCACUGGACAAUUUGCAUCUAACCGGUUUGGCCCACAUCUGCAGCUUUAAAUGGACUUGUCCUAAUGCUGAUGCCCAUCAUUUUGUGGAUCCGGUAACUAUUUACACAACACAGUGAAUGCAUCUUGGGAGACUGUCCUAGCCCUAAGGAUUUGACAUUGGUGCAUGAAUCUAAGAUCUUUAUUGCCCGAUUCCAAGGCUCUCCUCCUUGUACAGAGUGCCUCCACCCAAACUUUUGGAUAGGUUUUAACCUAUUUUCUAGGAUCAAUUUGGGAAAACCUUAUGGUGUUUCUUGUUUUACCGGUGCAUGAAUCUAAGAUCUUUAUUGCCCGAUUCCAAGGCUCUCCUCCUUGUACAGGUUUCCCCCGGAUGGUCUUCUGAACCCUGAACCUCUCUACAUUGUAAAGUGGUGCUGACCCCCCUUGUGUACCAUUACGGCCUACUUGCUAUGUGGACCCCUCUUCUGCGGUGUGACCUGGAGAACCCUUCAGUGGUGCUGACCCCCCUAUUCUACCAUGAAGUCCUACUUGCUAUGUGAACCCCCCUACUGUGGUGUGACCAGGAGAACCCUUCAGUUGGAAAAGUGGAAAAACACACUACAGGCGGAUCCAACUUUGAUGUAAAGUCCUUAAAACAAGUCAAAAUUAGGCUCAGUAGUGUGUGUGGCCUCCACGUGCCUGUAUGACCUCCCUACAACGCCUGGGCAUGCUCCUGAUGAGGUGGCAGAUGGUCUCCUGAGGGAUCUCCUCCCAGACCUGGACUAAAGCAUCUGCCAACUCCUGGACAGUCUGUGGUGCAAUGUCUGAUGGUGAAUGGAGCGAGACAUGAUGUCCCAGAUGUGCUCAAUUGGAUUCAGGUCUGGGGAACGGGCGGGCCAGUCCAUAGCAUCAAUGCCUUAAUCUUGCAGGAACUGCUGACACACUCCAGCCACAUGAGGUCUAGCAUUGUCUUGCAUUAGGAAGAACCCAGGGCCAACCGCACCAGCAUAUGGUCUCACAAGGGGUCUGAGGAUCUCAUUUCGGUACCUAAUGGCAGUCAGGCUACCUCUGGCCACCCCACACCAUUACAGACCCACUGCCGAACCGGUCAUGCUGGAGGAUGUUGCAGGCAGCAGAACGUUCUCCUUGGCGUCUCCAGACUCUGUCACGUCUGUCACAUGUGCUCAGUGAGAACCUGCUUUCAUCUGCGAAGAGCACAGGGCGCCAGUGGUGAAUUUGCCAAUCUUGGUGUUUUCUGGCAAAUGCCAAACAUCCUGCACGGUGUUGGGCUGUAAGGGCUAUCAAUAGUUUUUACAUUCUGAUGGCAUUCGAAGAGCAGGAUCAAUGAUACCCAUAAUCGCCCAUUUGGGGGUAAAUGGCACUAAAGUGAUUAGUUUAGCUUCUGCGUAUCUUCUAAUGAGAUGCCAGAAGUAUUGCACAAUGGGACAUGCCCAGAAACAAUGAUAAGUAUCUGCCUCACUCUGGUGGCAUUUUGGGCACGAGUGUGUCUCUGACGUUAUGGAAACGCCGUAAUGGGGAAAGAUAAGUAUUAUGAUAUACAUUCAGAAAUAAUUUGGUAUACAUACUCGCAGACAGGACCUUUCGGGAGUAUAAUAGGGCUCUUUCCAUCAUGGAUAUAGUAAGACCAGGAAAGUGAGUCAACCAUUUCGACAUGCCGCCUGUUAUAGUAGCAUGAUCUAAUAUUGUUCUUAAGAAUCUAUAAUGUAUAGAUAUGGCUUUAUGACUAGGUACCGGGAUUAAUAAGAGGCUGUCUAGGGAAUUUGUCCAAUCUCCUUCCGCAAAACGUGUAAGAACAUGUCUGACAUAAAAUCAUGUUUGCAGAAAUGGCAGGGGAAACGGGGUAACCAUAGCGUGUUUUGUAGACAUCUCAGAAAAAGUUAACAGGCGGUGGUCUUCCAUAGAUACCAAGGAUCGAAUCAAUGUUAUACCAGUCUCCCUCCACACAGUAAAGGGGUGGGCAGCCAUGCCGUCCAAGAACUCAGGGUUUUUGGUUAAGGGUAAAUGUAAGGAAUGAUAUUGAUUCAAUUUCGCGUUGUGGCGCAAGAUGUGCCAUAUUCUCCUGGUAGACCACAAAAGCGGGUUCGAUUUAAUGUGGUCAGGAAUCUCCUGAUCAUGUUGGUAGAGGAAACACGUCAAGUCUAUGUCUGGUAAAAAGCCCUGUUCCAGGGACGUAUUCGUGUAAACAGAGCUGUUUUGUAGCCAAUCCCUCAAAUGUCUCAAAAGCGCGGCCUGAUUAUAAACUACCACAUCAGGGAAAUUGAUCCCUCCAUUGGAUUCGGGUUGGACAAGCUUACGUAAAGCUAUACGAGCAUGGCCCCCCUCCCAUAUAAAAUUUCUGAUAAGUUUAUUAAUCAAUUGCAUAUCCGUUUUUGUCAACAAUACAGGGAGCGUUUGUAAUGGGUAUAAUAGGCGCGGGAUAGCCACCAUUUUAAGUAGAUUAGUCCUGCCCAAGUAUGACAGUGGCAAGCGUUCCCAUCCUUUAAUAUCAUCAGUUAGAGUACGUAUGGCUUUGCUCACAUUAAAUUUAUACAAUUCUGAUCUA